AGCACUUGGCUCUCCAUUACUGAUCCUUGCUCUUUGCUUGAGCCCCUGACCGCACUUUUCAAGGACCCUCUUCCUGUCCCUUGGUUUCAGGCCCCUUUUGCCAGCCCGCUCCUGUGCCUCCACUCUGAUCCCCUCAUGUUGUGGUAUCCUGGCACUCCCCAGACCCUUUGCUACUCCUGCUUCUUUCUAUCCUGGGGUUCCCAAAUGCUUUCUGGCUGCCCACUGACCCCAACUCCAACACACACACACCAGGUAUCCCCUAACAGUGCCCUCUUUUGUCCCUUUUUUGAUCCCGAUUCCUCUCUGAGGACCUACUCACCUGGGGUAGAGAAGUGGAAUUGGCUGGCCUCUGCUCCCUGAAUGUUCCCUAUGAGAGACACUCCCCUGACCUUGUCUGCAUCCCUUUCACUGCCUGAAACUUGAGGCCUGGCAGUUAAUAUGUGACUUCCUCCAACCCAGCCCUGAGAGAUCCCCUCCCUUACCUCCCUUGCCCUCUGGCCUUGCAUGCUGCCCCUACCCCAUCCUAGUCUUCCCCAACCCGGACUCUUGGCGCUCCUGUUCCCAGGUUUGUGCACUCCCUUGAGCCCCUUACCACUUUCCUCAUGUCCCUUUGCAUAGAGUAGUCUCUUCAUGUUGGGUCUGAACUGGGGGCCCCUUGCUUGGGCCCACCAGUGGGCUCCCAUAGGUGCCCCUUGAGCCUCCCUCUGUCUCAUGGUCCUUGUGCAACUCAUCCUCCCAAUCUCCUCGCGAACUCCCCUGGUGCUUGUGAGUCUCCUGCUCCUUGGGUCUCUUGUCCUAGGUUGGUUGGGUGGCUACCUUGUCUCAGCACCUGGCUAUGGUCCUGGCUCUCCUCUCACAUGCACCUACCGCAAUCCCUGGCCAUCCCCUCCCAUAGCCCUCCUUCUGACCCCCUUCCAUUGCCAGGCCUACUUUGCCAGGUCCCUCUCCAUGGAUUCUCAUCUAGGCCAGAGCACCCUAUGAAAAGCAGAGCCCUACACCUCGCCUUGGCCUCUUACUCUUUCUGGGUGCUUGGUCCUGCACCAGGUAGUGGCCCUGGGCCCAGAGCCUUACUGCCCCCUGCUGGAUCCACUGCCUUCCCUCCAAAGUCUUGUCCACUGUCCUAAUCCCCCUGCUCAAGCCCUGGUCCUUGGCACUCCAUUCCCUUGCCUGGCUCCUCGUUUGAGCCUCUGGUGGCCCUUCAUGUUCCUUUCUUUUCUGGGCUUUUUCUGAGGGCCCUCACUGGGGCCGCUUCUCUCCUCCCCUUGGCUUCCCUGUACUGAAGUACCCUAGUGCAGCCCCACAUGACUGGACCCGCCCUUUCCUGCUCUCCCCUGGUCUGGGCCCUACUCUAGGUCCCUUGUCUUAGCUCCUUGCUGGGGUUCUGGUCCCCACCCCACCCAGACCCAUCCUGCAGCCUUUGAGAGUGUGCCCUCCUUUGGCCCUCUUGUCGUUUCUGUCUCUCCCAGGCCAACUUUCCUGAUCCCCUUCCCAGAAUGCUCACCAGGCUAAGUACUUGACCUGGCCUUGUGGCCCUAUGAGCUCUCCUUGGGAAAAUGUAGCCCUGCCCCUUGUCUGGGCACUUUUGCUUCCCUCAACCCGUGCCCUGCUACCCAAUCCUGAAACCCUGUAUUGGACCUGGGCCUUCAGCCUUCCUCCCACUGUGCCACCUGCUCAGAUUUCUCCCCUUCUUCCCCUCCCCAUCCAUAUCUGUGUUCAUUCACCCUGCCCCAGGUGCUAGCACUUGGCUCUCCA
rnacentral:lncRNA from 1 species